GCAUUCAGUCCAAGACGGACAGAGGCAGGUCAUACAGGCGCUCAGCGACCAGCUGGCCAGGCAACUAGAGGAGCUGACAACCAUCCACCGCGAGAUAAACACUGCGUUGCAAACAUGAGACGCGGCCAUACACCCGCCGCCGCCGAUCUACGCGUCCGUACAAAAGGAGCGGCGACCGCUGCCUCUGCUGCUGCAACAACAACCAACACAACAACAACAACAACAAGCAACAACACAACAACAAAGGCAGCGACAGCCGCCGCGGCAGGCGAGGAAGGACGGCGAGGAGCCGACCUACGUGACGGUCAAGACGAAGAAAUGAUGAGUGCUCUCGGUAUUUCGCAAGGUGCAUGAGUUUUUUUAAGUUUUUUUCGGUUGUAUUGAGAUGGUGGUUUCAUUUAGUCACGUGAUUCGUUGGAAAACUGUUGGGUUUCUUUUUGACAGAUGAUGGAUACUAAUGCCCGUAUUCACAAACGAUGCUUGCUUAAGUGGAGCAGCAAAUCAAACGCAGUGUCACCCUGUGCGUCCACGCGCACUGUGAGACCUCAUAGUAAUACGGGCAUUAAUAAUAAUGAGUAGUUAUUCAUUAUCAAAACAAAUGUCGAAAGGUUUGCGAAUUUUGACGGAUACGUAAGUACAUACCGAUGUUGUAAGUUUAACUUAUUUGAAAGCGUGUAAACAGCAAUAUUAUUUGGUACUGGUUUGCUAACACAGAUGGCGUUGUUACGAAUCCAAAUCGCGGUAGUGCUUUGUUUUUGCCACUUGUAACUAUUGUAAAUGAAAUAUUCAAAUGCCGUUUUGUUUUUGGCUUAGUUUUCUCCAUGAUUUGCAUUCUACGAAAACGGUCAACUGAUAAAAUUUGACUAUAUUGCGAUUCGGAAUAACGAUACAGCGCCAUCUCUUGUUUGAUAGUUAAACUGUGUGCUAAAUGGCAUGCUGUUAUAAGAAAGACCCGACGCCUUUUGAAAUGAUAAAUAUUUGUAUUUUAAAUGAAACCAUCAAGACUCUUGUAUAAAAAACACGCCACCGGCUUCCCAAUUUGUAUAAUUUUCCACCACUGUAUAAUAUAAGUACACGAGAAUUAUAUUUAAAACGCGGUGCAACUGUUGAUUUGUGCGAUUUUUGUGCAAUCACUUGAUCUCUAAUACGUCAGUAAAUAUGUUUUUUGAGAUGUUUAUAAAUAGCGUUAAAGUUUAUAAUGAUCCAGACUAUUGAAAGUUCCUCUAAACGAUUUGUAUGCUUUCUUAAACAAUUCUCAAAAAUGGGUCGCUGAAAAUGUUUAGUCUCAAUUCAAGUUAAUGAAAUCUGUGUGUUUACCAUGAGUUUACAUAGAAGUGUACGUUAGUCACUGCGUAAAAAAAUGUCAUGAAAUGUAUGACAGAUUGUACAGCGCCCCUAGCGGUUCCUUUCAAGAACUAAAAUCUUCAUAGAUUUUUUGACAUAAGCUAACGAUGACGUAUAAUAUAAACUCAUGAUAAAGCCAUUGUGCUGUACGUUCUUAAAUCCACUGGAACUUGAAAUUGCUAUUUGACAGUGAAUUGUAGAUCCAGGUGUGUACUCAUGUUGGCUUACGAGCGAAAGAGAGAGCUUUGCCUCAUAUUUGCGUCUCUUUCUCUUGUAUCAAUUUAAGUUCUGGGUAUUGUGAAUAUCUGAUCCGAUUAUGGCAUUAUCCUUUGUUCAAUACUUGACGUAAAAUACGGCAUAUCGAGUAUAAUCUUACUGCACACGAAAUAAGAGUGAUUUUUGCAGUGCUGCUGUAUUUGUUUUUGAAUACUCUUGUCUCUUUCUUCCUCGAUCGUUUUGAUAUACAAAGGAUAAUGACUUAAUAAUUAAUUACCUCAUCACGCUGCAUUAAUUUGACAAGCACCAUCUCUCAGACAGAGAUAGAUUACUUCCACAAAGUUUCGUACUUGUCAUCCUAACAUUGUCAUAAGACGUUCAUAUUUCGAAUAGUAUUUUGUCCUUAUUACUCGCUUCGCAGUAGUAAAGGACGAGAAUACUUCAGCCAAUAGUUGGCGCCAUUUUCGGCCCAACGGCAAACAAUGACGUGUACAUUAAGGGUGGUUGCAAUAUUAAGUUUAGGCGUGGCAGAAAAUCAACCUUACGUCAGUGUACAUACGUUACAUAUUCGUGUAACCACGAACACAUGCCAAAAAAUUAAUAUUUUCUAUUGAUUAAUGUAUAUUUUAACGUAGUCUUCGAUAACGUGUAAGUGACAUAAUAUUUGCACGGUGAAAUACCGAAUUUAAAUUAAAAUUAAAUUAAAUAUUUAGAUCUUCGCCUGAGUAUUCAAUGGACGGGCAGUGCCAUGUCUCUGUAUAUUAUACUACUUACGUUAACCACUAAAAAUUAAAUUAAAAAACGGGCCAAUGGUAGCUCGAGUGUAGGCGCAGUCGCAUCGAAGUUAGAACAAUGAAUAAGAUGCUUCGAUCAAAUUGUUUUUUCGGUAAUGAAGCGUAAUUUGUAGGCGUAAAGUUUACGUUUGUCACUUCUGACCUGUUUCUUGGGAUUCCUUAGUGAUGUUCGACCGCUUUAUUUAGACCCGAGAUUUAAUUAAUCGAUACCUAUUAAGGUAGCUUACAAUGUAACUUUCGAUAAAUAAUAGAUCAGUGGCCUAAUUCACGUAUUUUGACAGUCAAGAUCUCGCUGACGUUCAGAAGUCGUCCCAUUGAAAAACAGUUCUAAAUCCGUAUUCAUAAGGGUCAUUUCGAUAGAACGAUUACUCGAUAGGAUCGCAUUCAGCGAUGUUUUGUUACGUGACUAAAGCUAUAGAUAUAAAUAAUUCUUAGAAUCUAAUUCAACGUUGUUAAACUUUGUAAAAGCUGGCUCAUAAUAUUUUGCUUGUUUGCUAUGUUUGAUAUUUGAUUUGAAAUCAAAAAAUAUUAGGUUGGUUGACUUUGAAAGGCAUUGCUUGUAGUGACGUCAAAUGUCAUCAGAUGUAACAUGUUAACAAUGAAAGCUCCCUUAUUCCUUGCGAAAUAAAGGUGUGUUUUAAAGAAACUAACCUCAGUAAGAGCCACAGAACAAUAAGAAAAAAAUAGAAAAGGUUCUAAAUAUCGCGGUCGAACAUUCAAACACAUCGAUCUGUAUUGUGCAUUUGAUUCGCAUUGCAUUUCCUUUCUCGAAUAGUCUCCUCGUAUAGAUUGUCUAUGGAUAAACAUUUUUUUCACUUACCUACUGUGUAGGGUAUAUUCAAUGUAACAUUUUUGUGACGUUUUUAAAUGUAAAUGGCGACUUUCCGCGUUCUUUAUUUAAAUCUCUUGACAGUUCUAGUUUUGUAUCUAUCCCAUUCUCACCUUAGGAGUGUGAAAAGGAUAGCAUGUCUUGAGGUUCAGAUUGAGAAUGAUUGGAUACAGUCUUAUAUUAUUCUGUAAAAAAACUCCCUAGUCGUAAGUAUAAAUGCGUACAUCACGAUAUCCGUCUUAUUUUAAUGUUUUCAGAUCUUUUAAACGUACUUCUCGGUUUUUAUUUUUAUUUUCUUGUGUUUCCAAACCCUGUACCUAGAACCCUUAGCAAAUUAGUGUUUACUAUUCGAAUGAGAAUGUUCAUCUGUUUAUUUAUUGUUCAUCGUUUUAAGUUAUAUUUUUAUUUCUAUUUAAAUUAUUCGUUUAAUAAAAUCAGUAUUUAUUUUAAAAGACUGCCUUUUAGUUUAGUUUUUUAUUUAUUUUGUCCAUUCGUGUCGCAGAUGAACGAUUCUCAGUCGUUAUAAAAAUAAAAAAAUUAAAAACCAAAUAAUAUCAUUGAAAGGCUGAGGACGAUUUUUAAGAUAUACAAUGUCUUCUUAACAGGGUAAUUUCAUUUACUGUUGCAUAUUUUUGAAUAGUGAUGUUGUUAUGGAUUUUUACUCUUAUCUACUUGUAACAAGGUUCACUCUCGUAGGAACAGUCAGCGUCACUCGAGCGUUUUUUAAACGCCAAUCUAACACGUGAAUUGACUUAACGCGUUUUAACGCACGCAAUUUUAAUGUACUCUUAAAAUUCUACUUAAAAAUUAAUGAACAUAACUAAAUCUAAUAGCUCAUUAAAAAUCUCUUCCUUUACUCAUUAUUUUUCUUUUAUAUUAAACUCGAACAACUUUAAUUUAUAGGUAAAUAAAUAAAAUUACGUAGUUGUUAGAAAUGAAAAAUUAAUGUUUAUAGUAUUUCACUAUUUAUUUACAUUGUAAAUCUGUUUAUCACAAUUAUUAAUAUAUAAAUAGAUAAAAAAUUAAGUAGGAAGCGAAAUGAUCUGUUGGUAUUGACGAGUUGUAAUAUAGAUUAGGUAUUUAAGUGUUAUUUCCCGUAUAAUUUGUAUACUUGUUAAGUGUGAUUACAAUAUAAUUAUAGUAUAGAUAAAUAUAGUAACUAAAAAUUAUAUAAUAAAUAAUUAUCUAAAUGUGUCUGGCUGGGAGAUGACAUUUUAAUGAAACGAAAUGUUUUAAUGAAUGAUUAAUGAUAAAUUUAAUGAUAGGUACCUAGCAAUGGCCGCUCCCACCGAUCGUAUGUUAGUGCCAACCUAAAGUCCGUUACCCGAAGCCGUUGUUAGGUAUUUGAAUGUAAAAUUGUUGUAUUGUAAUCGCAUUAUAGUAUGUAAUUAUUCAAAUAUUGUCAGAUAGUCUGCGAUGCUAUUGCUGCUUCAAUAUACCUUUAUUUCUACGUUUAUUUCAUGAACUAACCUCCAUUUUUGUAUCAUUUUGUAGUGUGUUAGUACAUCUUGUGAAGUCCUAUUUAAAUUAAAGUAAACAAAACUAAGGCUCAUACUACGAAACUACGCUCAAAAUUUGAUUCUAUUUCAGUCAAUAGUUUCUGUUCUGUGAAUGGUAAAAAAUAUUUAAAUUCAACCAAGAAAAAAUCUCAAUCUUCUUGAGCUUAAGUUCAAGACAAAACUCAGAAAUACAUUUAUUUUGAGUUAAGAUUUCUAUUUGAGUGUAGUUUUAUAAUACGUGUCUAAUAUUUCCAAAUGUUUACAUUCCACAUAGCAAACUGAAAGCCUUUAAACCUAGAUGGCGUUAGUAAGCCAGUAAUGUUGCCAUUAUAAAAAAUAUGGUGUCCACAGACAGUUGAAAUAAUGCCUAUAUCUUCGUAUUACUUAUGUUUUGAGCCUAUUUUACCCCGUUUUUGAAAAUAUAUUUACCACUCCUAUGGGAUUGUAGUAUUGUAUUUAUGUUAUUUGUAAUGUACCGCAGACUAUUGUAAGUGUACGUAAUAUCUUCCACUAGAGCCGUAGUCGCUGUGAACCAUUGCAUAUUAACAAUAAAUAAAUAUUAUGAAAA